CCCUUAGAGUUUGAUCCUGGCUCAGAACGAACGUNGGNGGCGUGGAUUAGGCAUGCAAGUCGUGGGCGAAAGGGGCUUCGGCCCCGAGUAGACCGGCGAACGGGGCAGUAAUGCGUGGGUAACCAACCCCCCGGAUGGGGAUAACCCCUGGAAACGGGGGCUAAUACCCAGCGGGCUCACGGGCACUGCGGUGUCUGUGAGUAAAGGGUGCGAAUCCGCCGGGGGACGGGCUCACGUGGUACCAGCUAGUUGGUGAGGUAAUGGCUCACCAAGGCUACGACGCCUAGCGGGUGUUAGCGCAUGGCCCGCGCCACUGGGACUGAGACACUGCCCAGACACCUACGGGUGGCUGCAGUCGAGAAUCUUCGGCAAUGCCCGCAAGGGUGACCGAGCGACGCCGCGUGGGGGAAGAAGGCCUUCGGGUUGUAAACCCCUGUCAGGAGGGCGGAAAGGCCGGGAGGAUCUCCUCCUGGCGUUUGACCUCCCUCCAGAGGAAGCACGGGCUAAGUUCGUGCCAGCAGCCGCGGUAAGACGGACCGUGCGAACGUUGUUCGGAAUUACUGGGCUUAAAGGGCGCGUAGGCGGCUCGCUAAGUCGGUGGUGAAAGCCUCCGGCUCAACCGGAGAAGUGCUGCCGAUACUGGCGGGCUCGAGGGAAGUAGAGGUGCGUGGAACUACCGGUGGAGCGGUGAAAUGCGUUGAUAUCGGUAGGAACGCCGGUGGCGAAGGCGGCGCACUGGGCCUCACCUGACGCUGAGGCGCGAAAGCCAGGGGAGCGAACCGGAUUAGAUACCCGGGUAGUCCUGGCUGUAAACGAUGGGCACUAAGGGUAGACCCGGCUGACGGGUUUGUUCUCGUAG
rnacentral:rRNA from 1 species